rnacentral:lncRNA from 1 species
GUGGCCUUGAUGUAAAUCAAAGAUGAGGUCAAAUUUUAAGACUGAAUAUAACAUUCCCACUAUCAUGUGAUCCUAUUUUAGUCAGAUACAAGAUCUCUGAUGCAAAGUAGGCAUUUUGAGAAGACCUCGAAUUAGGCACAUGAUGGUGACUAAACUGAGAUCUAUAUCAUAUUUAUAAUUAAAUACAGGACAUAAUGCUCAUUGUUGGAGAUAUUACAUUAUAGCACAUGUUUCAUAUCAUGUGCGCUAAGUGACCAUGAGGAAAAUGAGUAAAAAUCAUGCAUCCUCACUAUGUGAGUUCUUUGAGGAAAAGAAAAAUAUUAUUUUAUCUUUUUUAUGUCUUUUGUCACUUUUGACUAUGUUUUGAUAUAAUGGGCUAAUGUCUGCUACCUUAGUAUGUUUUCGAUGGUGAUGAAAUAAUUUAGUCUUACGAGACAUCUAGGAAAGUGAUUGUUGAAAAUUGAAAGACAUAAGGGCAAAAAGAAAGACUGUUUAGAGUAUGUUGAUUGUGCAUUCAUUGGUCGACCAAUUAGAUCAUUUAAUAUUAGUUAUGAUAUAAUUAUGAAUACAUAGGCAUGAUUAAGGAUUAAACAUGAUCUUUCGGAAUUAUAUUUUUUUUUAAUCUAACGUAAUUAAACAUGUCUAGGGCAUAAUAAAAUUUUAUUUUAAAGGGGUAGUAGCCACUAUGCUAACCCUAACAAGUAUAUAGCAAGAGCUCUCAAUUGCAGGUUUGCAUGUGGGUCAUACGACUUAUUUGCUUGUAUAAAAUCAUAGAGAUUAUGGGUAUGUUUAUCCAUCAUGUGCGAGUGAGAGAUGUUAGAUAUAAAUUGGGUUGGGUGCCCAUGGUGGGCAAAAUCUGACCCAUGUCUAUUUGAAAAUGGAUGAGAGGCGGUGGUUAUUAGAUGUGUGCCCUAGAAGUCAAUUGAAUCGACACAUUAAUUCUUUUUAGAAUAUAAUUUUAUAUUUGAUCUAAUUAAUUAGGAUAGUUAAUUUCAUUCAUGUAGUGUAUAUAUCCAUGAAUCAUCGAGAAAAUUAAUAAGAUGAUAGCACAUAUUCUCAAAAGUUAAAAAUUUAAGGCAUGUGUCAUUGAUAGUUAAUUUUUAAAUUACUUCUAAUCGAAGGAUCAUUAUAGAGACGGUGAAUGAUCCGGUAAGAUUGGUACAUGGAUCGCUUUCCUUAGGAUAGAUGAGUUUUGAGUCUAUAGUACGACGACAUUGGAGCAAGAGUGGAGGUGGUUGUUAGAGAAUAAUGAUACCAAGUAUGAUCAACACGAGAAGUCACUUAGAUGUCUACUCACUCAUCAGUGACAUUCUCGAUGCUAUAAUUGUGUGAGUGGUUCUUAAACCUAUGGUGCAUUGACUGUUCACAAUGAGAUUGCUAUAGUUUGAUUGUACCAUAACUUGAUCUUCGAGCCAUACAAAAUCUCAAGGUAUAUGUUGACUGUAGUAGGUUCAUUGUAGGAAUAGGAUGUACACUAAGAUAGGAUCUAUUGACUUUAGUAGUAAAAGAGUAGUCUUAUGUAAUUUAUGAGAUUGAGUUCGAAAGAUCUUGGUCAGGACAGUAUGAAUGAUGAAAAAAAAAUUUAUCAGAUUUCAUAAAUGAACUCAAGUUGAAUUAAUCUUACAUAUGACAGACAAUAAAAUUUGAUGAGUUUUUCAUGAUCUCUAUCUUGUCAAAACUUACAAUAGAAGAACUGAAUCACACAGUAACUACACCUAGAGGUUCAUCCUUCUAUUCUGUUGGAUUAUCACUACAUAUUGCUAGACAUCACUGAUGGAUUAUGAGAUCAAUAAAAAUUAUUUGAUAGUCAAGAAUUCUUAAUUAGUGAGUUAAAAUUAUUCUAAUCCAUUGAAAGGAGUUUCAAUGAUAUUUUGAUGGAGAUCAAAAUAUUUCUCACUAUCAGACAGAAUAGAAUCUAUGGGAUCACACAUAAAAA